CCUACGGGCGGCAGCAGUGGGGAAUAUUGCGCAAUGGGCGAAAGCCUGACGCAGCGACGCCGCGUGAGGGAUGAAGGUCUUCGGAUCGUAAACCUCUGUCAGCAGGGAAGAACGGUCACUGUGCUAAUCAGCAGUGAAUUGACGGUACCUGCAAAGGAAGCACCGGCUAACUCCGUGCCAGCAGCCGCGGUAAUACGGAGGGUGCGAGCGUUAAUCGGAAUUACUGGGCGUAAAGCGCUCGUAGGCGGUAUGUCAAGUCAAGGGUGAAAUCCCCGCGCUCAACGUGGGAAGUGCCUUUGAAACUGGCAAACUGGAGUGUGUGAGAGGAUAGUGGAAUUCCAUGUGUAGGAGUGAAAGCCGUAGAUAUCUGGAGGAACAUCAGUGGCGAAGGCGACUAUCUGGCACAUAACUGACGCUGAGGAGCGAAAGCGUGGGUAGCAAACAGGAUUAGAUACCCGGGUAGUC
rnacentral:rRNA from 1 species